CCCUUAGAUGUUCUGGGCCGCACGCGCGCUACACUGAUGCAUUCAACGAGCCUAUCCUUGACCGACAGGUCCGGGUAAUCUUUGAAUCUGCAUCGUGACGGGGAUAGAUUAUUGCAAUUAUUAAUCUUCAACGAGGAAUGCCUAGUAGGCGCAAGUCAUCAGCUUGCUUCGAUUACGUCCCUGCCCUUUGUACACACCGCCCGUCGCUCCUACCGAUUGGGUGUGCUGGUGAAAUGUUCGGAUCGGCCGUUUGUCGCGGUUUCCGCGGCUCGUGGCUGAGAAGUUCAUUAAACCCUCCCACCUAGAGGAAGGAGAAGUCGUAACA
rnacentral:rRNA from 1 species